CACUGGAUAGCUCAGGUGGUAGAGCAUGAGACUCUUAAUCUCAGGGUCCUGGGUUCGAGCCUCAUGUUGGGUGA
rnacentral:tRNA from 1 species